GACCAUACUUUAGAUGCUUGAUUUAUUGUUGUUAUGAUGAUUUUAAGUGUUAGAGUUGUAGUCCUACAUGUUGUCUACACACUGGAAUUGAUAGAUCACGUAAACGUUGCACGAUCAUCAAGUUAUAGAGGUCCAAAGUAGGCACCUCGAACUGUUCUUCGUGAAGAACAGCUUUGGUAGCUACUUUGAUGGCUGAUUUCUCCCAUAUCUGAUGUUGUUUAGUCAUGAUGUUUCUUGGUAAGUGUAGUAUUACAUGAGUACUACAAUAUCCAAGUAUUAGAUUUCCCAGAAACGUAAUGGAUUGAGAAUUAUUCAUGGUCAAACUAGGCACCUUG
rnacentral:lncRNA from 1 species